rnacentral:rRNA from 1 species
AUUGAACGCUGGCGGCAUGCCUUACACAUGCAAGUCGAACGGCAGCACGGGUGCUUGCACCUGGUGGCGAGUGGCGAGCGGGUGAGUAAUAUAUCGGAACGUACCUUAUUGUGGGGGAUAACGCAGCGAAAGCUGUGCUAAUACCGCAUAAUCCCUAAGGGGGAAAGCGGGGGACCGUAAGGCCUCGCGCAAUUAGAGCGGCCGAUACCUGAUUAGCUAGUUGGUGAGGUAAAGGCUCACCAAGGCAACGAUCAGUAGCUGGUCUGAGAGGACGAUCAGCCACACUGGGACUGAGACACGGCCCAGACUCCUACGGGAGGCAGCAGUGGGGAAUUUUGGACAAUGGGGGCAACCCUGAUCCAGCAAUGCCGCGUGAGUGAAGAAGGCCUUCGGGUUGUAAAGCUCUUUUGUCAGGGAAGAAACAGCAGCUCUAACACAGUAUGCGAAUGACGGUACCUGAAGAAUAAGCACCGGCUAACUACGUGCCAGCAGCCGCGGUAA